UUCGGACUUUUCGAAGUGUACCAUCCUCGCACUUUGGUCAAUUUGACUAAAGUUUGAUAUUUAUUUUUCGAAUUUUCGGUAUAUCACACACACACACACACACACACACACACACACACACAUAUAUAUAUAUAUAUAUAUAUAUAUUCCGGCUACUAUACUAUCGAUAGUUCCAAACCCUUGGUACUAUUGAGUUUUCUACCGUUAGAUCUACCCUUUGAUCAUUUCCACCCGUUAGAUUAUACUAUUAAACAAACCACCCACUCAACCCUAGGGGACCACUAUCAAUUUAACCGGGGACCACUAUCAUCCUAACCGCACAUCUUUUGUUCCAACGGCCGAAAACUCAAUAGUACCAA
rnacentral:lncRNA from 1 species